rnacentral:lncRNA from 1 species
UUAUAAUAUGAUGUUACAUAAAUAUUUCAAUACAACACUAUGGCACAUUUGAUGGCAGCUAGCUAUAUGUUGUGCUUCUAAUAUAUAUUAUUCAUGAAGUUGUGGUACAAAUAUACAUUAUUCCUGAGUUUGUACAGAACUUUUUCUAUCUGUUUUUAAAUAAAUAUAAUUUUAGGAUUUAAUGCUCUAAAUCCAUCUUAAAAAUGCUGCUGUAGAAGAAGCAGUUGAAUUUAUUCUGUUUGACAGGGACAGAAAUAAAAGAAAAAUAAUAAAAUAAAAGUAUUUUUAACUGUUA